rnacentral:rRNA from 1 species
GACGAACCGAGCGAGCGUUAUUCGGAAUCACUGGGCUUAAAGGGUGCGUAGGCGGGCACGCGAGUCAGGGGUGAAAUCCCACGGCCCAACCGUGGAAGUGCCCCUGAUACCGCGAGUCUCGAGGGGGAUAGGGGCGUGCGGAACUUCCGGUGGAGCGGUGAAAUGCGUAGAUAUCAGGAGGAACACCUGUGGCGAAAGCGGCUCACUGGACCAUAACUGACGCUGAUGCACGAAAGCUAGGGGAGCAAACAGG